GAUGAAGAACGCAGCGAAAUGCGAUACUUGGUGUGAAUUGCAGAAUCCCGUGAACCAUCGAGUCUUUGAACGCAAGUUGCGCCCGAAGCCAUCAGGUUGAGGGCACGUCUGCCUGGGCGUCACAUAUCGUUGCCCAAUGCCUUUUGCAGUGCAAUAGGAAUUUCUAGGGCGAAUGAUGGCUUCCCGUGAGCGUUGUUGCCUCGCGGUUGGUUGAAAAUCGAGUCCUUGGUAGGGUGUGCCAUGGUAGAUGGUGGUCGAGUUAGAACGAUACCGAUCAUGUGCAUGCUCCCCAAAAUAUGGCCUCUAUGACCCACACGCGUCUUUUGACGCUCAUGACGAGACCUCAGGUCAGGCGGGGCUACCCGCUGAAUUUAAGCAUAUCAAUAAGCGGAGGA
rnacentral:misc_RNA from 1 species